GGGGAGUAAUAUACAAAAUUAUUGAAUUGUUUAGAAUUAUUAUAAUAUCUCAUGUCUUACCAGCUAGGCGAACUUCUAAAGUUUAUUUUUAUGUACAUACAUACAUUCGCACUAAUAGGUGUGUUUUGAUAUUUCAGAGUCCUUCUUGUCCGUCGUGUUGCCCUUGUCGCUUGCCAGAGAGUUUGAUAACUGAUAGCAUUACUUUACAUUCACUUGAAGAGGUAGAGAUCUACUUCUUCCAAGGAUCAGAAGAACUACUAG
rnacentral:lncRNA from 1 species